rnacentral:rRNA from 1 species
AGAGAGAGACAUGCGCGCAUAUCAAUAAGCGGAGGAAAAGAAACUAACAAGGAUUCCCCUAGUAAUGGCGAGUGAAGCGGGAAGAGCUCAAAUUUGAAAUCUUAAAGGGUUUCCCUUUACGAAUUGUAGUUUAAAGAAGUGUUUUCUGUUGAGGUUUUGGUAAAAGUUCUUUGGAAUAGGACAUCAUAGAGGGUGAGAAUCCCGUAUUUGACCUUUACUUUCAACUUUGUGAUACACUUUCAAAGAGUCGGAUUGUUUGGGAAUGCAGUCCAAAAUGGGUGGUAAAUUUCAUCUAAAGCUAAAUAUUGGCGAGAGACCGAUAGCGAACAAGUACCGUGAGGGAAAGAUGAAAAGAACUUUGAAAAGAGAGUUAAACAGUACGUGAAAUUGUCAAAAGGGAAGCGUUUGACACCAGUGUUGUUUUUCUGAAAAUCAAUUAAAGAACUGUUUAUGCUAAGUUGUUUAGACUUUAUCAGCUAACUGUUUAGUUUUGAGCUUUUCUUUAAUGCACUUUUCAGUUAACAAGUCAACAUCAAUUUCUUUUGCUGUAAAAAAGCUUGAGGAAGGUGGCUUGAGAUUCGUCUUAAGUGUUUAUAGCCUCUUGCCUAUGCAGUCGGAGAGAUUGAGGUCUGCAGCGUAGAUCCUUCGGGGCUAAAUGCAUUUGUGCUAAGUUAUAGCAUUUUAUAGACAACUUGUUGACUAUGAUUUGUCUUGUAGCUUACUCGCUUAUGUUAUUUUACCUACGCUUAGGAUGUUGACGCAUGAGAUAUACGC